rnacentral:rRNA from 1 species
AGGACGAACGCUGGCGGCGUGCCUAACACAUGCAAGUCGAACGGACGAGGGGAGCUUGCUCCCCGAGUUAGUGGCGGACGGGUGAGUAACACGUGAGCAACCUGCCCUUCGGAGGGGGACAACAGUUGGAAACGACUGCUAAUACCGCAUGAUGUAUUUGGGAGGCAUCUCCCGGAUACCAAAGAUUUAUCGCCGAAGGAUGGGCUCGCGUCUGAUUAGAUAGUUGGUGGGGUAACGGCCCACCAAGUCGACGAUCAGUAGCCGGACUGAGAGGUUGAACGGCCACAUUGGGACUGAGAUACGGCCCAGACUCCUACGGGAGGCAGCAGUGGGGAAUAUUGGGCAAUGGGGGGCAACCCUGACCCAGCAACGCCGCGUGAAGGAAGAAGGCUUUCGGGUUGUAAACUUCUUUGACGAGGGACGAUAGUGACGGUACCUCGAAAACAAGCCACGGCUAACUACGUGCCAGCCGCUGC